rnacentral:rRNA from 1 species
AUACGGAGGAUCCGAGCGUUAUCCGGAUUUAUUGGGUUUAAAGGGUGCGCAGGCGGCCAUUUAAGUCAGCGGUUAAAUCGUGGGGCUCAACCCCAUUCUGCCGUUGAUACUGGGUGGCUUGAUUGCGGUCGAGGUUGGCGGAAUUCGUUGUGUAGCGGUGAAAUGCAUAGAUAUGACGAAGAACACCGAUUGCGUAGGCAGCUGGACAGACCGCAAAUGACGCUCAUGCACGAAAGUGCGGGGAUCGAACAGGAUUAGAUACCCUGGUAGUCCGCACAGUAAACGAUGAAUACUUGUUUUCGGCGAUAUAAUGUCGGAGGCAAAGCGAAAGCGAUAAGUAUUCCACCUGGGGAGUACGCCGGCAACGGGGAAACUCAAAUGAAUUGGCGGGG